UCCUGGCUCAGAACGAACGCUGGCGGCGCGUUUUAAGCAUGCAAGUCGAACGGUAGAGUUUCUUCGGAAUCUUGAGAGUGGCGAACGGGUGAGUAACACGUAGAUGAUCUGCCUUGAAGUUGGGGAUAGCUCAUAGAAAUAUGGGGUAAUACCGAAUGAUAUCUCAAUGCCUUGGCAUUUUGAUGAAAGGGGCUUCGGCCUCGCUUUGAGAUGAGUCUGCGGUCUAUUAGCUAGUUGGUAGGGUAAGAGCCUACCAAGGCGACGAUAGAUAGCCGGCCUGAGAGGGUGACCGGCCACAUUGGGACUGAGACACGGCCCAAACUCCUACGGGAGGCAGCAGCUAAGAAUCUUCCGCAAUGGGCGCAAGCCUGACGGAGCGACGCCGCGUGGACGAAGAAUGCCGAGAGGUUGUAAAGUCCUUUUAUUUGCGAAGAAUAAUGCCUGUAGGUAAUGACAGGCAGAUGACGUUAGCUUAUGAAUAAGCUCCGGCCAAUUACGUGCCAGCAGCCGCGGUAACACGUAAGGAGCGAGCGUUGUUCGGAAUUAUUGGGCGUAAAGGGCAUGUAGGCGGUUAUAUAAGUCUGAUGUGAAAGGCCACAGCUUAACUGUGGAAACGCAUUGGAAACUGUAUGACUUGAAUCUGUGAGGGGUAACUGGAAUUCCUAGUGUAGGGGUGAAAUCUGUUGAUAUUAGGAAGAACACCGAUGGCGAAGGCAAGUUACUGGCACAUGAUUGACGCUGAGAUGCGAAAGCGUAGGGAGCGAACAGGAUUAGAUACCCUGGUAGUCUACGCUGUAAACGAUGUGCACUUGGUGUCGGGGUUUCUAAGCCUCGGUGCCGUAGCUAACGCGAUAAGUGUACCGCCUGGGGAGUAUGCCGGCAACGGUGAAACUCAAAGGAAUUGACGGGGGCCCGCACAAGCGGUGGAGCAUGUGGUUUA
rnacentral:rRNA from 1 species